UACAGAGACUGCAAGCGUUAUUCGGAUUCACUGGGCGUAAAGGGUGCGCAGGCGGUUGGGUGUGUCAGAUGUGAAAUCCCGAGGCUUAACCUCGGAACUGCGUCUGAAACUACUCGACUAGAGUACUGGAGAGGGAAACGGAAUUCACGGUGUAGUAGUGAAAUGCGUAGAUAUCGUGAGGAACACCAGAGGCGAAGGCGGUUUCCUGGACAGUUACUGACGCUCAGGCACGAAAGCAUGGGGGAGCAAAAGGG
rnacentral:rRNA from 1 species